rnacentral:rRNA from 1 species
AACGAACGCUGGCGGCAUGCCUAACACAUGCAAGUCGAACGGGAUCCUAGCUUGCUAGGUGAGAGUGGCGGACGGGUGAGUAACACGUGGGAAUCUGCCUUUUGGUUCGGGAUAACCGCGGGAAACUGCGGCUAAUACCGAAUGCCCUCGAGAGAGGAAAGAUUUAUCGCCAGAAGAGGAGCCCGCGUCCGAUUAGGUAGUUGGUGGGGUAAAGGCCUACCAAGCCGACGACCGGUAGCUGGUCUGAGAGGAUGAUCAGCCACACUGGGACUGAGAUACGGCCCAGACUCCUACGGGAGGCAGCAGUGGGGAAUAUUGGACAAUGGGCGAAAGCCUGAUCCAGCAAUGCCGCGUGAGUGAUGAAGGCCUUAGGGUUGUAAAGCUCUUUUACCCGGGAUGAUAAUGACAGUACCGGGAGAAUAAGCUCCGGCUAACUCCGUGCCAGCAGCCGCGGUAAU